rnacentral:pre_miRNA from 1 species
GUGAUACCCCUAGGGAGCAGAACUUGAUUCAGUGGGAUGUUGGUGCUCACUGAGUCUGCACCUUGAGUGUGUUGCU